UAGGGAAUCUUCGGCAAUGGACGAAAGUCUGACCGAGCAACGCCGCGUGAGUGAAGAAGGUUUUCGGAUCGUAAAACUCUGUUGUUAGAGAAGAACAAGGACGUUAGUAACUGAACGUCCCCUGACGGUAUCUAACCAGAAAGCCACGGCUAACUACGUGCCAGCAGCCGCGGUAAUACGUAGGUGGCAAGCGUUGUCCGGAUUUAUUGGGCGUAAAGCGAGCGCAGGCGGUUUCUUAAGUCUGAUGUGAAAGCCCCCGGCUCAACCGGGGAGGGUCAUUGGAAACUGGGAGACGUGAGUGCAGAAGAUGAGAGUGGAAUUCCAUGUGUAGCGGUGAAAUGCGUAGAUAUAUGGAGGAACACCAGUGGCGAAGGCGGCUCUCUGGUCUAUAACUGACGCUGAGGCUCGAAAGCGUGGGGAGCAAACAGG
rnacentral:rRNA from 1 species